UACGUAGGGGGCAAGCGUUGUCCGGAUUUACUGGGCGUAAAGAGCUCGUAGGCGGCUUGUCGCGUCGACUGUGAAAACUUGGGGCUCAACCCCAAGCUUGCAGUCGAUACGGGCAGGCUAGAGUUCGGUAGGGGAGACUGGAAUUCCUGGUGUAGCGGUGAAAUGCGCAGAUAUCAGGAGGAACACCGAUGGCGAAGGCAGGUCUCUGGGCCGAUACUGACGCUGAGGAGCGAAAGCGUGGGGAGCGAACAGG
rnacentral:rRNA from 1 species